GCCGCCUUAGCUCAGUUGGUUUAGAGCGCGACAUUGGUAAUGUCGAGGUCCUGAGUUCGAACCUCAGAGGCGGCU
rnacentral:tRNA from 1 species